UUUUAUGGAGAGUUUGAUCCUGGCUCAGGAUGAACGCUGGCGGCGUGCCUAAUACAUGCAAGUCGAGCGAACGGAUGAGAAGCUUGCUUCUCUGAUGUUAGCGGCGGACGGGUGAGUAACACGUGGAUAACCUACCUAUAAGACUGGGAUAACUUCGGGAAACCGGAGCUAAUACCGGAUAAUAUUUUGAACCGCAUGGUUCAAAAGUGAAAGACGGUCUUGCUGUCACUUAUAGAUGGAUCCGCGCUGCAUUAGCUAGUUGGUAAGGUAACGGCUUACCAAGGCAACGAUGCAUAGCCGACCUGAGAG
rnacentral:rRNA from 1 species